GCUUCGGUUAGUGCAGGAUAAAGAUUCUCAGUUUGGUCCCCAGUCUAGACAUCACAUCACUAGCCGACUCUGCUACUUUAGCUGUAUAUUUUGUUUAACAAAAUGUCAACCACGACCGGUGGCGGAGAGUUUGGCAACCCUCUGCGGAAAUUUAAGUUGGUCUUUCUGGGUGAACAGAGCGUUGGGAAGACCUCACUCAUCACCAGGUUUAUGUAUGACAGUUUCGACAACACUUACCAGGCAACAAUUGGUAUUGACUUUUUGUCAAAAACCAUGUACCUAGAAGAUCGCACGAUUCGGCUGCAGCUCUGGGAUACAGCCGGACAAGAACGUUUCCGCAGCCUCAUCCCCAGUUACAUCCGCGACUCAGCGGCUGCUGUGGUGGUUUAUGACAUAGCCAAUCUUAAUUCUUUCCAGCAAACCUCCAAAUGGAUUGAUGAUGUGAGGACAGAGAGGGGAAGUGAUGUAAUUAUUAUGCUUGUUGGAAACAAAACAGACUUGGCAGAUAAAAGGCAAGUUUCUGUUGAGGCGGCAGAGAGGAAAGCACGUGAGCUCAAUGUGAUGUACAUAGAGACCAGUGCCAAGGCGGGCUAUAACGUCAAACAGACAGAUCACCACGGAGGAGGGCGAGCAGAGAGCUAAGGAACUGAAUGUCAUGUUCAUUGAAACCAGCGCAAAGACUGGCUACAAUGUCAAACAGCUGUUCCGACGUGUCGCUGCUGCGUUGCCCGGGAUGGACAGCACACCAGAGAAAAGCAAAGAGGACAUGAUCGACAUCAAAUUGGAGAAACAGCCAGAGAUGACUGUAACUGAGAGCAGCUGCUCGUGCUAGUACACCUCGCCCCACCCAGCCUGUUUCCUCCCCACCAACAGCUUGUCUCUCAGUGGCCACUCUCCACCCAUGGCACCCUGCCACUGGGAUGGAGGACCUAUCUUUUUAUUUUUUUAUUGUUUGGUUUUUGUUUUCCUCCCCUUCUCAACUCAGUGACUUUUCAAAGUAACCGUGUGGAUGUGCAUUACUGUAAUGAAUCUGAUUAUCUUGGGGAAUAUAGUUCAGAAACAAAUGUUUAAAAACGAGAAAUAAGUUAAACCUAUUCAGAUUUUCAUCCAGUUGCAUGGCAUUAUAUAGGACUGCAGACUGACAUAGCUAACUGCUCUUGACUUUAUGCACAGUCCAGGAUGUUAGUGCUGUUUCUCUCGUUGUUGUAAAGUUUACUUGCUUUGGAAUAUAUAAAUGACUGCGAGGUUUAAUUCUCAGCCCCUUUUUAUUGUUUUUAUUUAAGGAAGAAACGUUUUAUCUCUCGGACAGCUCAUUUUUCACAUUUCCUAUCACAUUUUGAGGAAGUACAAACAUAAAUGUACAUCGUUUCAAGCCAUGAUGAAAUAUCUGACUAAACUUAGGCUUUCACAUUAAAGACAAGUGGAGCAGUUCUCUCUCUGUCAAAGCUGCCAAAUUCACGAGUUGUAACCAAAUUAGUCAAAUUUAAAAGGACGAGUUAAAAAGUAAUGAAGGAGUUUUAUCAAAGGGAAUUAUUUGGUUACUAACCCUAAGCUGCGCGUUAAAACUCUUAUCAGCUUUCAGUGUCGUUAAAUUUGCUGCCCGCAUACUAACGUAACACAUCUGAGGAAGCUACUGGUGGAGAGUCUGGUCGCUAUGUGAGGUAGCUGCCACGUCACCAAUAGUUUGUGUUGUGCUGAUCACACUAUUGUAAGAACAUGCAGCAUGCUCACCAUGCAGGAUUUCUAUGGAUAAGAACACAGAUGCCUUGCUUGUUUGUUCACCAUGUUGUGCACUGAAUCAAGCCACAAUAUUGUAAAUUAUCAGAGGAGCCUGUUGACUGGUUCAUGGCUUCACUAGCUGUUUUUGUAGAGUUGUUAGUUAGGUAGAUGUCCUCAGAUAUGGCUCACUAACACCCUCGCUGUAAAAAAAUAUACGGUGCACAGAAGUUAGUUGCAGCAUCCUUUAUUGUGUUGCUAUUGCCUGCGUGGGACCGUUUUGGUUUUAUGCAUUUAUUUAUUUUGUAACUUGGACUUACAGAUGACUUUCUUGAGCUUGACCAAAAGUACGCUGCCACGCAUGUUGGAGGUUUGCUUUAUUUAUUGUGUCUCUGCUAGAGCCCCGCUUAAAGGUGGCAUUUAUAAGUCAGCAUCGCCUCGACACACACGCACACACACAGUCUAUUAAUAAGAUUCACUAGCCAGAGCACAACAAAAGACACUGGUCAUUUGAUGAUGCUUAUCUGGGGUUGUGGGUGUUUUGAAACGGACUCGAAGGUUUAGGUAUUCAUUUACUUCACGAACAAACAGUUUAUCUUGAGCAGCUCUUCUAUUACUUGUCACUGACUAAAUACUCAGCUUUGUGCUAUUCUGAAUUGUGUCUGUCUAUUUGAAAUAUGAUGUCUACUCGUGUUUAGCAACGUUUGUGUGAAUAAUGUACUAUUACUUAUCUUAUGUAUAAAAAGGAGAGUUACUGAAACACAAGUGUAGGCCUAUCACAUGGAAUAAAAUAAAGAUAUUUCACCAAAAUGUAAAA